rnacentral:rRNA from 1 species
UACGUAGGGGGGCAAGCGUUGUCCGGAAUCAUUGGGCGUAAAGAGCGUGUAGGCGGCUUGGUAAGUCCGCUGUGAAAAGUCCAGGGCUCAACCCUGGAAUGCCGGUGGAAACUGUCAAGCUUGAGUCCGGAAGAGGCGAGUGGAAUUCCUGGUGUAGCGGUGAAAUGCGCAGAUAUCAGGAGGAACACCAAUGGCGAAGGCAGCUCGCUGGGACGGUACUGACGCUGAGACGCGAAAGCGUGGGGAGCAAACAGG